rnacentral:rRNA from 1 species
UACGUCAGCGGCAGACGGGUGAGUAACGCGUGGGAACAUACCUUUUGGUUCGGAACAACACAGGGAAGCUUGUGCUAAUACCGGAUAAGCCCUUACGGGGAAAGAUUUAUCGCCGAAAGACUGGCCCGCGUCUGAUUAGCUAGUUGGUGAGGUAACGGCUCACCAAGGCGACGAUCAGUAGCUGGUCUGAGAGGAUGAUCCCCCACACUGGUACUGAGACACGGACCAG